rnacentral:rRNA from 1 species
UACGAAGGGGGCUAGCGUUGCUCGGAAUCACUGGGCGUAAAGCGCACGUAGGCGGACUCUUAAGUCGGUGGUGAAAUCCUGGAGCUCAACUCCAGAACUGCCUUCGAUACUGAGAGUCUCGAGUCCGAGAGAGGUGAGUGGAACUGCGAGUGUAGAGGUGAAAUUCGUAGAUAUUCGCAAGAACACCAGUGGCGAAGGCGGCUCACUGGCUCGGUACUGACGCUGAGACGCGAAAGCGUGGGGAGCAAACAGG